CCUACGGGAGGCUGCAGUAGGGAAUCUUCCACAAUGGACGAAAGUCUGAUGGAGCAACGCCGCGUGAGUGAAGAAGGGUUUCGGCUCGUAAAGCUCUGUUGGUAGUGAAGAAAGAUAGAGGUAGUAACUGGCCUUUAUUUGACGGUAAUUCCUUAGAAAGUCACGGCUAACUACGUGCCAGCAGCCGCGGUAAUACGUAGGUGGCAAGCGUUGUCCGGAUUUAUUGGGCGUAAAGCGAGUGCAGGCGGUGCAAUGAUUCUGAUGUGAAAGCCUUCGGCUCAACCGGAGAAUUGCAUCAGAAACUGUUGAACUGGAGUGCAGAAGAGGAGAGGGGAACUCCAUGUGUAGCGGUGGAAUGCGUAGAUAUAUGGAAGAACACCAGUGGCGAAGGCGGCUCUCUGGUCUGCAGCUGACGCUGAGGCUCGAAAGCAUGGGUAGCGAACAGGAUUAGAUACCCGAGUAGUC
rnacentral:rRNA from 1 species